rnacentral:rRNA from 1 species
CCCGUAGGCGGUUCAGCAAGUCGGCUGUGAAAUUCCGAGGCUCAACCUCGGAACUGCAGUCGAUACUGCUGUGACUCGAGUCCGGUAGAGGAGAAUGGAAUUCCCGGUGUAGCGGUGAAAUGCGCAGAUAUCGGGAGGAACACCAGUAGCGAAGGCGGUUCUCUGGGCCGGUACUGACGCUGAGGAGCGAAAGCGUGGGAGCAAACA